UACGAAGGGGGCUAGCGUUGCUCGGAAUCACUGGGCUUAAAGGGUGCGUAGGCGGGUUUUUAAGUCAGGGGUGAAAUCCUGGAGCUCAACUCCAGAACUGCCUUUGAUACUGAAGAUCUUGAGUCCGGGAGAGGUGAGUGGAACUGCGAGUGUAGAGGUGAAAUUCGUAGAUAUUCGCAAGAACACCAGUGGCGAAGGCGGCUCACUGGCCCGGUACUGACGCUGAGGCACGAAAGCGUGGGGAGCAAACAGG
rnacentral:rRNA from 1 species